rnacentral:rRNA from 1 species
GUGGGGAAUAUUGGACAAUGGGCGAAAGCCUGAUCCAGCAAUGCCGCGUGAGUGAAGAAGGCCUUAGGGUUGUAAAGCUCUUUUACCCGGGAUGAUAAUGACAGUACCGGGAGAAUAAGCUCCGGCUAACUCCGUGCCAGCAGCCGCGGUAAUACGGAGGGAGCUAGCGUUGUUCGGAAUCACUGGGCGUAAAGCGCACGUAGGCGGCUUUGUAAGUUAGAGGUGAAAGCCCGGGGCUCAACUCCGGAACUGCCUUUAAGACUGCAUCGCUUGAAUCUGGGAGAGGUAAGUGGAAUUCCGAGUGUAGAGGUGAAAUUCGUAGAUAUUCGGAAGAACACCAGUGGCGAAGGCGGCUUACUGGACCAGAAUUGACGCUGAGGUGCGAAAGCGUGGGGAGCAAACAGGAUUAGAAACCCUAGUAGUCC